rnacentral:lncRNA from 1 species
UUUAGAACCAACCACAUGCCAGGCCUCAUACUAGCUGACCAAUAUACACAGUGUUUGGCAAAAGCUAAGGUGAUGGUGUGCCAGUUCUGCUCUCUGCUGUAUCUGUGUCCUGUUUCCUUAUGUCGUUUGUAAUUUUUGAUCACAAGCACAUUUUCAACAAGCUCAUUGGAGCCACCAGCUGAAAGCAAGGGAGUGAAUGAGCCCAGCCCCGAGUGGAGCAGAAGGAGCCCAACCAGCGAAGCCCAGCCUGAAUUCCUGACUAACAGACUUAACAGGUGGAUUUUUGGGUUUGCUGAAGAAGAAAAAGAAGGAGAAGGAGAAGGAGAAGAAGAAGAGAAGUGUGAUUAACAAGAAAAAAACUUAUUUGGGGGCUAUGAACACCUUGAAUAUUUAACAGAAUAUCAGCUACUCAUCUGUAACCAUUCACUACAUAGCUAAACUUUUAGUAAUAAUGUAGGUAUUCUCUGGCCAAGAGAAAGAUAGGAUGUGUGUGUGUGUGUGUGUGUGUGUGUGUGUGUGUGUGUGUGUGUGUGUUUAACAGAAGAAAAUGGAAAGAAAAUAAAAUAAAGGAUAUUUUGGAG